ACCCGCUGAACUUAAGCAUAUCAAUAAGCGGAGGAAAAGAAACCAACAGGGAUUGCCCCAGUAACGGCGAGUGAAGCGGCAACAGCUCAAAUUUGAAAUCUGGCCCCAGGCCCGAGUUGUAAUUUGCAGAGGAUGCUUUUGGCGCGGUGCCUUCCGAGUUCCCUGGAACGGGACGCCAUAGAGGGUGAGAGCCCCGUACGGUUGGACACCAAGCCUUUGUAAAGCUCCUUCGACGAGUCGAGUAGUUUGGGAAUGCUGCUCUAAAUGGGAGGUACAUUUCUUCUAAAGCUAAAUAUUGGCCAGAGACCGAUAGCGCACAAGUAGAGUGAUCGAAAGAUGAAAAGCACUUUGAAAAGAGGGUUAAACAGCACGUGAAAUUGUUAAAAGGGAAGCGCUUGUGACCAGACUUGCGUCCGGUGAAUCACCCAGCUCUCGCGGCUGGGGCACUUCGCCGGCACAGGCCAGCAUCAGCUUGCCGUCGGGGACAAAAGCUUCAGGAACGUGGCUCCUCUCGGGGAGUGUUAUAGCCUGUUGCAUAAUACCCUUCGGCGGGCUGAGGUACGCGCUCCGCAAGGAUGCUGGCGUAAUGGUCAUCAGCGACCCGUCUUGAAACACGGACCAAGGAGUCAACCUUAUGUGCGAUGUUGGGG
rnacentral:rRNA from 1 species